rnacentral:rRNA from 1 species
GAUGAACGCUGGCGGCGUGCCUAAUACAUGCAAGUCGAGCGAACAGACGAGGAGCUUGCUCCUCUGACGUUAGCGGCGGACGGGUGAGUAACACGUGGAGAACCUACCUAUAAGACUGGGAUAAAUUCGGGAAACCGGAGCUAAUACCGGAUAAUAUAUUCAACCACAUGGUUCAAGAGUGAAAGACGGUUUUGCUGGUAAUUGUAGAUUAAGCCGCGCCGCAGUAGCAAGUUGGUAAGGUAACGGCUUACCAAGGCAACGAUGCGUAGCCGCCCUGAGAGGGUGAUCGGCCACACUGGAACUGAGACACGGUCCAGACUCCUACGGGAGGCAGCAGUAGGGAAUCUUCCGCAAUGGGCGAAAGCCUGACGGAGCAACGCCGCGUGAGUGAUGAAGGUCUUCGGAUCGUAAAACUCUGUUAUUAGGGAAGAACAAAUGUGUAAGUAACUAUGCACGUCUUGACGGUACCUAAUCAGAAAGCCACGGCUAACUACGUG